rnacentral:lncRNA from 1 species
AUGUUUUGAGCCCUUGGGAUCCAUGAACAGGUGUGCUUUCAAGAAAAUAGUAAUAUUUUAGAAUUUUAUUAAAAUAAAAAGGGUUUGUUUCCUCUUUGAUUGAAUGAAGAUGGUGACCUCAAAGAAGUAAAACAACAGAAAGAAAUGUUCUUUUACCUUCAUUUGUUUUCACUGUUUGGGUCCGGUGAUCUUCUUUUUGAUUUGCUAUCUUGGAAUUGAGUUCUUCAUCCCUAUAAAAUAAAGCAAUGUACCACUUUGGACUGACAGUAACAAAAAGCUAAUGGAACCUUGCGAAUAUCAAAUAUUUUUUCUCUUUGGCAUUUCGUCAAACAGGCAACUUGUAUAUGUCAGAGACAUCAAUAAAAUUGAAACAAUCAAAUUUUCAAAUGCAAAAAUAAAUAUAGGUUUGGAGGGAGAAAUACAGUGAAUGAGGAGACUUAAUAUUUAUGUACCUGGAAUCUUUAAAUGUACUGUGAAUUUAAUUGUCCGCUUCUUUGAUUUCUAUCUUGCGAGUAGAAACGGUAAAAAAUAUCAGUGAGAGAAUUUUUUAUUUGUGUUUUUUGACCUUGUUGAUACUUCUCUUUAAGCAUCCAGCUGAUUCAUAAGAGAGGAAAACAAAUACCUGAGGGUUUUGCAAAUUGAAUUGCAACAAAGCUGGAGAAUGAUUGAGAGAAAGAGAAGUCAGUGAAGAGAUUGUUUAAACCGUAUCCAUUACAAUAUUAGUAGUUACUGUGAGAAGUAUUCAUUCUUUUCAAAACAAAAAAGCAGAGCCAAAUGCAUAGACAUGUAUUGACCUACAGAGGAGUUUGUCACAGCUUGUAUGUAAUGGCAAUUUGCAACCAUAUAUCCCAAGGUCAUCCAGUGUAUGCAUAUUUUCAUAUUCAUUGGUUUAGUAGCCAAAAUGUCUCUACUGAGACUAAUAUGUUAUAUUUGCAGUAGAAGUUCCUUGUAAAUUCAUUGCAAGCUUGGUGUAUUUAUGUUGUUUUCCAAAGAAACAUUACCAUCAUAAUUUGUAUGGAUCCUCUACCUAAAGGUUACACAAUCAAUAAGGUGUAUAAUGGAAAGGCUAAGGCAGAUAUAUCUUCCUUUUUAUACUUUUUCUUUCCCUUGAUGUUUGUUCAUAAAAUUAGUUAUAAAGCAACAAACUGCAAUCUGAAUAUAGCACUAAUUCACUAAUCAAUGCAAAACAUAUAUAAGCAAAAAAUUUAUAUAUUUACAGUUUUACAUUAUUUCUUCUAUAAAUAAGAUUUUUAGCAUUACUAAAUUUUUUACACCCAAUUCAUGGUUGGUAAUUGCCCACCUUAUUAUGUGAAUUGAUCUGCCCCUAUUGUUAAAUCAUUUAACUAUUCCUCCAUAAUUCAAAACUCCCUUUCUCCACAAAGGAGAGUUUAAUUUCUCUUUCUAGGAUGUAUGAAAAUGGAACCCUCUUUUAAAAGAAAUUUACAAUAAAUCUCAUUAUAUCUAAGCAAGUAAGUUAUCAUCUUGAUAUUGAUUAUAUUGAAAUAAAAAAUCUCUCAACAAACUUUUAUCUCUUAAUUGGGAUAGAAGAAGUAUAUAAUUUAUCAAAAGUAUGAUAUCAUCAAAAUGACCAAAUUACUCUACCCAAACUUGCAAUUAAAUUAACUGGAGGAUAAUUGAAACAAUCAUAUCAUACAUACAUACACACACAUACACACAUAUAUAUAUAUAUAUAGAGAGAGAGAGAGGAGUAUAUGAAUAUACCUGCAAAGGAGAAUGAAUUAAAUGGGUAUGACGUUUAGUUUCAUCUAAAGCAAAGUGGUGGAAUUUCUUGUAAGAGCAACAGGUAGAAACUUUAAUUGAAGCCUUCCAUAGGAAGACUCCAUACGCUUUAGUGUUGACAAAAUGAUCAUUGCAAGCUUGGUGUAUUAUGUCAUAUAAAACUUGGAUGUACCUUGUGUCGUGAACUGGUGAUUGAUAGAUUCAGUUGGCAAAAUAAUCGGCUACAAAAAUCAAUCGAUCCAAAAAGUACGCAAUCUCUCGAUUUGCUCAACCCAAAAAGCCCCAAAUCGUCGUAUUCGUUUGUCCUACAAAAGAAGUUUAGGGUAUAAGAGGUAGAGAAGAAGAGAUUUGACAUGUGUGUGGGAGGAAGGAGAGAUACGGAACAAAAGAAAGAGUGAGGGGAACCGAUUUCGCAGCGAAUGAGAAGGGGAAGAAACUGAAGUGAUUGAAGAGGAGAUAGUGAAUCGAUUUUGCUGAGGAUAAUUAUGAGGAAGAGGAAGAGAUUAUAUCAAUUCGAAAAAUAACUCAGUGAAAUUGGACAAAUUGACUCAAAUUGAUUAAGACUCUAAAUUGAAAUCAAGAGAGAUCGCCUUUGCUGUAUUUAUAUAUAAGUAUUGAUUUUUUUAAAAAGUACACAUAAAUCGUGUAUAGUAAGUAUUUAAGUUGGAG